UUGGAGGGCAAGUCUGGUGCCAGCAGCCGCGGUAAUUCCAGCGCCAAUAGCGUAUAUUAAAGUUGUUGCAGUUAAAAAGCUCGUAGUUGAAUUUCGGGGUCAGUAGGCUGGUCGUGCCACAGGUAUGUACUGGUCUCACUGAUUCCUCCUUCCUGAUGAACCGUAAUGCCAUUAAUUUGGUGUUGCGGGGAAUCUGGACUGUUACUUUGAAAAAAUUAGAGUGUUUAAAGCAGGCUAACGCUUGAAUACAUUAGCAUGGAAUAAUGAAAUAGGACGAUCGAUCCUAUUUUGUUGGUUUCUAGGAUUGACGUAAUGAUUAAUAGGGAUAGUUGGGGGCAUUAGUAUUCAAUUGUCAGAGGUGAAAUUCUUGGAUUUAUUGAAGACUAACUACUGCGAAAGCAUUUGCCAAGGAUGUUUUCAUUAAUCAAGAACGAAAGUUAGGGGAUCGAAGACGAUCAGAUACCGUCGUAGUCUUAACCAUAAACUAUGCCGACUAGGGAUCGGAUGAUGUUAAUUUUUUAAUGACUCAUUCGGCGCCUUACGGGAAA
rnacentral:rRNA from 1 species